AUCCAACGACUCUGUGAAAAGCAAUUAUAAAUGAAACAGUUGUACUAGGUUGUACUAGAAUGAGUCCCUCAACUUGUUCUCUCUCCUCCCUCGUUCCUAAACAGCUGUUCAACUUUUUCACGCUCCCUUUCUUCUUUCUCUGCCCUCUCAGUUUCUCUUCUUUCAAACUCCUUUUCUGUAUUUCUCUCUCAGUUUCUUUGCAUCGAUCUCCCUCCUCCUCCUCCUCAUCUCUUUCUCUCUUCCCUUUCCCUAACAAUUCAAAAAUCGAGGCCCAAAAGCCCUAUUUACUACUCUCAUUUGAUAUCUCUUUCAUUUUCCUCUUCGUUGUGUCCCUCUCUUUUCGUGGUGGUGGAGGAAAAGGUAGUAAUCUCGCAAAGUCAUACUGGUGCUCAAAGAUUGGAUUUUUACUGCUACCCAUCUGGCCUUUUUUAAAAUUGUAAUUGGCUUUGAGAUUGGACAAAGGUUGGCUUUCGUGAUUCUGUAGAGUGCAGGGAAAAGUUUGGAGAAGUUGAUGGAGGAGUGUUGAGAGAGAGCAGAUACUUGUGAAUUAAUUGCAGGAAAGCAUUCAAAGUCUUGAAAGGCAGUCCUCACCAGUGGAAGAAUUGUCCCAGAUUUUGAAAAGAGCAAAUAAUUUCUUGCAUUUUGUGUUGCAGAAUGCACGACCUCACUGAUCACUUUUUAAUUUUUGUUGAUAAUUUUCUGUUUUAGGAUAAAGAAUUGCUGUAUCUGUUUAUCUAUAAUCACUUCCCAAGUUUGCAAGAGUAGGUAAUUAAUUGCCACUGAAGUUCUUAUUCAAGGUUUGGUAGGAUUGCUGUAUAACUUCAAUGUAAUUUAAAGGGAGGUAAUUACUGCCUUGCUUAAGUGACACUCUGACACUAAACCACCUUAAUUAUAUUAUGUUCUUUCUUCUUGCCAGCACAUUAUAGGAAGAACAGAUGUUGAGAUUUUUACCGGGCCGGCGUUAAGGAAUCUCAAGACUUCAAGGAGGUUCUGGAAAAACAGGUUACCUGCAAAAUACAUGGGGAUGGAUGUCACUGAUCAGGCGAGGAAAAGAAAAAAGAUCGCAAAGCUUAGUGAGGAAAUUGCCGUCCAAAAAGCCAAGGAACUUAUAGUAAUUUUACGUAUAUUUUUAUAAUUUUUAAAAAUUAUAAAUUUUACAAGUAAUGCAAUAAAAUAAUAGCCAAAUGACACAAGUUAGAAUCUCAAUGCUGUAGUAUCACUUGUUUGCCACCAAAAUAUGUUUCGUAAAAGCUUUAAAAGGAUUCACUAGAGCUUCAACAUCGCUUCAUUUACUAUUCAAUAAAGCUUCAAAAUAUUAUUUUUA